rnacentral:rRNA from 1 species
UACAGAGGGGGCAAGCGUUGUUCGGAAUUACUGGGCGUAAAGGGCGCGUAGGCGGCCCGCUAAGUCGAACGUGAAAUCCCCGGGCUUAACCCGGGAACUGCGUCCGAUACUGGCAGGCUUGAAUCCGGGAGAGGGAUGUGGAAUUCCAGGUGUAGCGGUGAAAUGCGUAGAUAUCUGGAGGAACACCGGUGGCGAAGGCGGCAUCCUGGACCAACACUGACACUGAGGAGCGAAAGCCAGGGGAGCAAACGGG